AUUGAACGCUGGCGGCAGGCUUAACACAUGCAAGUCGAGCGGAGAGAGGUAGCUUGCUACUGAUCUUAGCGGCGGACGGGUGAGUAAUGCUUAGGAAUCUGCCUAUUAGUGGGGGACAACAUUUCGAAAGGAAUGCUAAUACCGCAUACGUCCUACGGGAGAAAGCAGGGGAUCUUCGGACCUUGCGCUAAUAGAUGAGCCUAAGUCGGAUUAGCUAGUUGGGGGGGUAAAGGCCUACCAAGGCGACGAUCUGUAGCGGGUCGGAGAGGAUGAUCGGCCCCACUGGGACUUAGACACGGCCCAGACUCCUACGGGAGGCAGCAGGGGGGAAUAUUGGACAAUGGGCGCAGACCUGAUCCAGCCAUGCCGCGUGUGUGAAGAAGGCCUUAUGGUUGUAAAGCACUUUAAGCGAGGAGGAGGCUACUUAAGUUAAUACCUAGAGAUAGUGGACGUUACUCGCAGAAUAAGCACCGGCUAACUCUGUGCCAGCCGCCGCGGUAAAAC
rnacentral:rRNA from 1 species